ACUGCUCACUGAAUUCUGUUAGUUGUUAGAGAGCCGAGCGACUGUGAAGACGUACGUGUGUGCUCCUACAGUGCUCUCAGAAUUUAUUUUUGUUAAUAUACAGCGUUAGUCACACUUAUUCUAUGGAAGAUUAAAUGUAUGUAUGUAAGAAUCGAUGUCUUUAAACACGCACAUAUAAACAAAGCGAAAAGUGUACAAAUACAAAAGUAACGGAAAAUUCGUAAACGACAUUCUUUGCUCGCUUUGUGGUCGGCAUUGUCGGCCAAGCAAUCGCAGUGGAGCAAGCGAGAAGGCAAAACAUCAGCCGCAAAGCUGUUCGCGGGGCAGCAUUAGCCAUGAGCUUUUGAGUGUCGCUCAAAUAAAAGAGUAGCUAAGCAAGCACAUUACAAACGACGCCACCUACUCAAAGAAAAAAGGCUCCUUGGUCGAGAUUUCCAACAAAAACUAAUUAAGGACUAUUAAGAGACUGUUAACAAGGAACAACAAAACAAAACCCCAAUCUAA